UUUCGCAAUGCCCGAAAGGGUGACGAAGCGACGCCGCGUGCGGGAAGAAGGCCUUCGGGUUGUAAACCGCUGUCGGGAGCUAAGAAAUGUAAGGAUGUUAAUAGCAUCUUUGCUUGACUAAGGCUCCGGAGGAAGCCACGGCUAACUCUGUGCCAGCAGCCGCGGUAAUACAGAGGCGGCAAGCGUUGUUCGGAAUUAUUGGGCGUAAAGAGCACGUAGGCGGCUACGUAAGUCGGUUGUGAAAGCCUUCCGCUCAACGGGAGAACAGCAUCCGAUACUGCAUGGCUUGAGUGUAGGAGGGGAGAGUGGAACUUCUGGUGGAGCGGUGAAAUGCGUAGAUAUCAGAAGGAACGUCGGCGGCGAAAGCGACUCACUGGCCUAUUACUGACACUGAGUGUGCGAAAGUUAGGGGAGCAAACGGGAUUAGAUACCCCGGUAGCCCUAACUGUAAACGAUGGGCACUAAGUAGAGGGGUUUUA
rnacentral:rRNA from 1 species